AGCGAAUAGAUACCCGGGUAGUCCACGCCGUAAACGAUGAGCACUAGUUAUUGGGGGUAUUGACUCCCUCAGUGACGCAGCUAACGCAUUAAGUGCUCCGCCUGGGGAGUACGGUCGCAAGACUAAAACUCAAACAAAUUGACGGGGGCCCGCACAAGCGGUGGAUUAUGUGGUUUAAUUCGAAGCAACGCGCAGAACCUUACCUAGGCUUGAACUCCUACGAACCUCUUGUAAUGGAGAGGGUGUCCGCAAGGAAAUGUAGUGAGAGGUGCCGCAUGGCUGUCGUCAGCUCGUGUUGUGAAAUGUUGGGUUAAGUCUCGCAACGAGCGCAACCCCUAUCGUCUGUUGCCAGCAUUAAGUUGGGCACUCUGACGAGACUGCCUGGGUUAACCAGGAGGAAGGUGGGGAUGACGUCAAGUCCUCAUGGCCCUUAUGUCUAGGGCUACACACGUAAUACAAUGGCGCGUACGGAGGGAAGCGAGCUAGCAAUAGGGAGCAAAUCUCAAAAAGCGCGCCUCAGUUCGGAUUGGAGU
rnacentral:rRNA from 1 species